rnacentral:rRNA from 1 species
AACGAACGCUGGCGGCAUGCCUAACACAUGCAAGUCGAACGAGACCUUCGGGUCUAGUGGCGCACGGGUGCGUAACGCGUGGGAACCUGCCCUUAGGUUCGGAAUAACUCCCCGAAAGGGGUGCUAAUACCGGAUAAUGUCUUCGGACCAAAGAUUUAUCGCCUUUGGAUGGGCCCGCGUUGGAUUAGCUAGUUGGUAGGGUAAAAGCCUACCAAGGCGACGAUCCAUAGCUGGUCUGAGAGGAUGAUCAGCCACACUGGGACUGAGACACGGCCCAGGCUCCUACGGGAGGCAGCAGUGGGGAAUAUUGGACAAUGGGCGAAAGCCUGAUCCAACAAUGCCGCGUGAGUGAUGAAGGCCUUAGGGUUGUAAAGCUCUUUUACCCGGGAUGAUAAUGACAGUACCGGGAGAAUAAGCUCCGGCUAACUCCGUG